rnacentral:tRNA from 1 species
GCCAAAGUGGCGGAAUCGGCAGACGCGCUGGACUCAAAAUCCAGUGUCCUUAACAGACGUGUGGGUUCGAUUCCCACCUUUGGUA